UUACGGCCAUAUCACGUUGAAACGCCGGUUUCCGUACGGUCACCGAAGUUAAGCAACGUCGAGUCUGGUCAGUACUUAGAUGGGUGACU